UGGGGAAUUUUGGACAAUGGGGGAAACCCUGAUCCAGCCAUCCCGCGUGUGCGAUGAAGGCCUUCGGGUUGUAAAGCACUUUUGGCAGGAAAGAAACGUCAUGGGUUAAUACCCCGUGAAACUGACGGUACCUGCAGAAUAAGCACCGGCUAACUACGUGCCAGCAGCCGCGGUAAUACGUAGGGUGCAAGCGUUAAUCGGAAUUACUGGGCGUAAAGCGUGCGCAGGCGGUUCGGAAAGAAAGAUGUGAAAUCCCAGAGCUCAACUUUGGAACUGCAUUUUUAACUACCGGGCUAGAGUGUGUCAGAGGGAGGUGGAAUUCCGCUUGUAGCAGUGAAAUGCGUAGAUAUGCGGAGGAACACCGAUGGCGAAGGCAGCCUCCUGGGAUAACACUGACGCUCAUGCACGAAAGCGUGGGGAGCAAACAGG
rnacentral:rRNA from 1 species